GUGAGUCAUCGAAUCUUUGAACGCACAUUGCGCCCUUUGGUAUUCCGAGGGGCAUGCCCGUUCGAGCGUCAUUAUACCCCUCAAGCGCAGCUUGGUAUUGGGGCCUGCUGUGACCGGCAGCCCUUAAAAUCAGUGGCGGUGCCCUCUGGCUCUGAGCGCAGUAAUCCUCCUCGCUACAGGGUCCGGGCGGUGUCUGCCAGCAACCCCCAACUUUCUCUGGUUGACCUCGGAUCGGGUAGGGAUACCCGCUGAACUUAAGCAUAUCAAUAAGCGGAGGA
rnacentral:misc_RNA from 1 species